AACAACCACUCCCUCGCUCUAAAACCCUUGGCGUCACUGCUCAUUUCACUACUAAAUCCCAAUUCUCCGGCGGCGGCGCGUUCUCCAUUCAGAUAUGAAGCAGAAGAAAUUGCUAGCCUUAGGGUUCGAGGGUUCCGCCAACAAAAUCGGCGUAGGAGUAGUGGCACUCGACGGCACAAUCCUCUCAAAUCCACGGCACACUUACAUUACGCCGCCGGGACACGGUUUUCUCCCGCGUGAAACCGCGCAGCACCACCACCAACACGUGUUACCCUUAAUAAAAUCUGCCCUAGAAACCGCCGGAGUAACUCCGGACGAAAUAGACUGUCUCUGCUAUACGAAAGGCCCUGGCAUGGGUGCGCCGCUGCAGGUUGCGGCGGUGGUUGUGCGCGUGUUAUCUCAAAUGUGGAAGAAACCUAUCGUUGGGGUAAAUCAUUGUGUGGCCCAUAUUGAAAUGGGUCGGAUUGUAACUGGAGCGGAUGAUCCGGUUGUGUUGUAUGUGAGUGGAGGAAAUACUCAGGUUAUUGCGUAUAGUGAGGGAAGGUAUAGGAUUUUCGGGGAGACGAUUGAUAUUGCUGUGGGGAAUUGCUUGGAUAGGUUUGCUAGGGUUCUUACUCUGUCCAAUGAUCCUAGUCCUGGGUACAACAUUGAACAGCUUGCAAAGAAAGGGGAAAAGUUCAUUGAACUUCCAUAUGUUGUAAAGGGAAUGGAUGUGUCGUUCAGUGGAAUACUGAGCUACAUUGAAGCCACUGCUGAGGAGAAGCUGAAAAAUAAUGAGUGCACACCAGCAGACCUUUGUUUCUCUUUGCAGGAAACUCUGUUUGCGAUGCUUGUAGAGAUUACAGAAAGAGCAAUGGCACAUUGUGAUAAGAAAGAUGUGCUAAUUGUUGGUGGUGUAGGAUGCAAUGAGCGCUUGCAACAGAUGAUGCAAAUAAUGUGCUCUGAGAGGGGGGGCAAGUUGUUUGCUACUGAUGACAGGUACUGCAUUGACAAUGGAGCAAUGAUUGCUUAUACUGGUCUCCUAGAGUAUGCAAAUGGUGCAUCGACUCCGAUGGAGGAAUCAACAUUCACACAGCGAUUUAGAACUGAUGAGGUCCUUGCAACUUGGAGAGAGAAGGAAUCAGCAAAAGUUUGAAUAACAGCUGGGUAUAUUGUAUUGAGGAGAAGAUGUAAAUCUUAUUUGGUAUCUUCAGUUUGUUACACUUUCAUGGUCAAUCCGUGUGAUUGUAUUGUACUCUAUUUAUCUGCCCAUGGCGGCUUAUAAUGGUCAAUCCAUGUCAACUCCUCUGAGUGCUUGGGCCGAUUCUUGAGCGAAGGGCGUAUUUCAUAGCUAAUCUUGAAGGUUUGGGGCUUGAUUUCGGGUAUCUAGGAGUGACGGUGGUAGUUUUUUCUGGUGUUCGUCAGUGCUGGUGGUGGUGGUGGUAGUUGUUCAUUGCUACCUGGUCAGUAGCACAAAGGGUCUGGUAGGUGCAGUUUGGGUGACAGUAGUAGCUGGAAGCUCCGAGGGAGGGGGUGGAAGCAGCAAACACUUUUCCUUCUACUUCAAUAAUUUUCCUUUCCAAUAGUUUCUCACGCUUAUUGAAAUUAUAUGCACCAAAUAUUAGUCAAAACUUGGAUGACUUACUGCAAGCAAUGUGUGGGUCGAGUUAAUGCAAAUUUUCAUUAUGUCUGAA